AGCAGUGAGUGUCGCGGCUAUUAUGUUAGACUGUGAUUUUUACCGUCCCUUCCCCUGUGACGUUGUAUUGUCUAAAAAAGGAGGUCCAUAAGUGUCGCCAGAAAUAGUGUCUUCUUAAAACUAGACAGUUGCGUUCUUGAAUUUCAUUUAUAAUUUUGUUUAUCUCGUGACAGAAAAUUUUUACCCUGGUAAUUCAGACGCUCACUGUGUUCAGUGUGCAGAUUUUUCGCGUCUGUUAAUAUCUACUACAUUGCAUUUUGCGUAAGUAGAGCAUAAUUGUUUUAUUCUAGUGUUGGUUUUGCGGAUUUCGUUAUUCACACGCGCAUUAUACAUGAGGUCGUGUCUAUGAGGUAUCGUCACAACAACAGUGUUUUUCAUCUUAUUUACGUUUAAAAAAUCCCUCAAACCUGUUAUGCACUUUCCGGCUUCGCUAUGAGCUACGUCGUUGCCACCCGUCACAUAAACUACGAUGUCACUGUUCUUCAGUGUAUUCCCGUGUUCUGAGACACGAGCUUUUAUCGGGAUAUUUCAGGAGGGCACGUGGAAACACUAGAUACUGUUGACAGUAUAUGCACACCUGAUUUGAAACCAUUCAAAGUGCGACGCAUUUUACGUAGCUGCUGUUUGUUUCCGGUCAAGAGCAAUAAUAUUGUGGUUGGGCAAUAAGCGUGAACAGUGAAAAAUCCGAUAAGUUUGGCUUGGGCACCUCGUUCAUCUGAUGUUAAAUGGCGCAGAUAACAAAUUAAACCAUUAUUAGCUUGAAAUUGCCCCAGGUGUAACUGCCCAGUAUUAUUCCGAGUCGAUCCAAUAGAAGGUACGUCCUGCAUCUCAACUUUCAUGGUGUCGCCUUUCGUUGUCAUAGCUCCGUAACAAACGGCUCUCGAGUGUCAACUAUUUACGAGAAUAGAAGGCUGGGAAUUUGCAGACUAGCUGCCCCAUUGCGACUCUGCGGCCGCGAACUUGGGAAGGCUGACGGUUGUGGACACACCAUCGCACGUCGCUAAGCAACCUAGACACUACCGGAACACUCCAAAGGCCGCACAGCUGCUACGUGAAACGAGUUCUUAACGAGGUUGUGCGAUGUCUCCUGAUGAGUUCUGUUAUGCUCAUGGUGAACACAGUUUAUUGAAAAAUAGACAGAACAUCACUAACUUCAUAAAGUAAACAAUAUUUGGCAUCUUUGGUAUUCAUUUUGUGGAUAAAGAACAGCCAUGCACUCCCUAUAGGGCAGCACCAAUUUCACCUGACAGAACUCUUGUAUGGCUGCCCUAUUUUUACUUGUAAGAUCUGUUGCAACCUUCAUCAGAAGAAGAUGAUUUAUGGAAAAUGGUCUCUGGAUGAAAACACAUACAACACUGGUGCAAUAUUCUACAAUAUUUAUUAUUUGUUCCACAAACUGAUUAUUAGCUGUUACACGAUCAUCUGGUACAAAGUUAAGUGUAUGGUGCAGAGAUAUUCUGUUGGAUCUUCAUUUCCAGAUAUGAAAAUAUUUAGCAAUGAAAUAAGAUUAUUUCAGUGUAAAUGUAAUAUCAUCUUUUGUAACUAAGAGAAAAUAUGUGACAAAUCAACAGAUGAAUGAUGUACAAAUUAAAA